rnacentral:rRNA from 1 species
UCCAGCUCCCAUAGCGUAUAUUAAAGUUGUUGCAGUUAAAAAGCUCGUAGUUGAAUUUCGGAGUUUGUCCGUUGGUCGGGCUCCACUGUCCGCACUGGCGUGAUGGAUUCCUACCUUCUGAAUAACCGAGUCAUGCCUAUUAAUUUGGUGCGGUGGGAAAGCAGAACUAUUACCUUGAAAAAAUUAGAGUG